GAACGCGAAGAACCUUACCAAGUCUUGACAUCCUUUGACCACUCUAGAGAUAGAGCUUUCCCUUCGGGGACAAAGUGACAGGUGGUGCAUGGUUGUCGUCAGCUCGUGUCGUGAGAUGUUGGGUUAAGUCCCGCAACGAGCGCAACCCUUAUUACUAGUUGCCAGCAUUGAGUUGGGCACUCUAGCGAGACUGCCGGUAAUAAACCGGAGGAAGGUGGGGAUGACGUCAAAUCAUCAUGCCCCUUAUGACCUGGGCUACACACGUGCUACAAUGGCUGGUACAACGAGUCGCAAGCCGGUGACGGCAAGCUAAUCUCUUAAAGCCAGUCUCAGUUCGGAUUGUAGGCUGCAACUCGCCUACAUGAAGUCGGAAUCGCUAGUAAUCGCGGAUCAGCACGCCGCGGUGAAUACGUUCCCGGGUCUUGUACACACC
rnacentral:rRNA from 1 species